CAGCUUUGAUGCUACCACUUGCAUUUGGAAGU
rnacentral:piRNA from 1 species